ACUUCACAGAAUUUAUCUCGAAGGCGUGUAGGGGGAUUUGCAUUUCUAACAAGCUCCCAGUUGAUGAGGAUACUGCAGGUCUGAGAGCGAUACUCUGAGAACAGCCACCCUAAUGCUUGAUUACAGAGAUGUUUUACUCAUGCAUCAUACCCAACAGCAAGAAUGUUAAGAACUUCCCUUUACAAACUCCUGCCUACAAGACCAAAAACGUGUUUGGAAUCACCUUCUCCCUGCAUUUAAGAACAAGUAGAAGCAGCUCACCAAAGUGUGAUUCAAGCCCAAAGGUAGACCCUGCGCCCGACCAGAUAACUCUCCCGGGUCCCCGUUCCGCAGCCGGACGGCAGACAGGAAACCCUUGGAUCGAGUGGGGCGGCACCACCGGCCACAAGCAGCCAUCGGAAAGGGCUCCUGCUCCCUGAGGCUCUACCAAGUCCCUGAAAGGGGUCAGCAGCGUCAGGAAGUAGCCCACAGGCGGCGGGAUGUAGCAGCCCAGGCGGGUUCUCACCAGAAUAGGCGCGAGCAGAAGUUCGCGUCCUGCAGCGAGUUGGGCUUCCGCAUCUUGCCGCGGGGGGCGGGCGCGGGCCGGGGUCGCGCAGUUCUGGAGGCGGAGCUUCUACUGGAGGCGCCGGCGGGGAGGCUGGAGGCUCAGACACAGCGGGGUCCUCUCUUUGCGAGACAGAACCACCGGCUCUGGGAGUGGGGCGCUUUUGGGAAGCCGUGGCCUCACGCUCUGACCCUCAGCCGUCUGGAGUCGGAGCGGUGGGGGCAGCAGGACGAAGGGGCGGCCAGGAGGAGGCUGCCAGGGGCCACACGCAGGUGUGAGGCGAGGCCGCAGGCACAGCUGAUGGAGGCGGGUAGGGGAACUGCCCACACAACGUACAGGACCCCCAGGCGUCCACAACCUAGCCCUGCCUGCAAACUCUACCAAAGGGCGUGCUCUGAGCGCACCCACCCAACCAGAGAAUGGAGAAGGGAGGGAUCGGCUCUAUCAGCCCCAUCUGCUUCGAAACCCCCCUCAGCUGUGGUGAAGACCUGGCGAAAGUUGAUAUUAAAACCCCCACCAGAUGGAAGAAGGUCACUGCAUCAUGGCCUUAAGCAGGAAGCACCCAGACCAGCUGGAACCAAAAGACUGAUGAUGUUAAACCCUGUGAUCCUACUCUGUUAUCUCACCCUCAACCAACCAGAAUGGUGUAGGAGUUGAUUACAUUCCCUGGACUUUCUCCCUCACCUUGCUUUUAAAACCUCUCCCCUGAAAUCCAUCAGGAAGUUUGGAUUUUAUAAGGAUGAGCUGCCUGUACUCCUAGCAUGACCCCUGCAAUAAACCUUUCUCUGCUCCAAAUGCCAACAUU